AGGUCAAUUCAAAGAGGGCUUGUGGGGCUGUGAAACCAAGAGGUCUUAAGAGUAUGCCCACAAGAGAAAGCAGGAAGAUCUAAAAUU
rnacentral:snoRNA from 1 species